ACCAUCUAAACCUAUUUUUUGUGACCCUAAAAUACUAAAGGGACCUGUUGAGAUACCAUCUAAAGUCCAUGGGGCACCUGGAUGGCUCAGUUGAUUAAGCGUCAGACUCUUGAAUUCGGCUCAGGUCAUGACCGAGCCCCACCAUGGGCUCUGCCUUGACAGUACGCAGCCUGCUAAGAAUUGAAUUCUCUUUCUCCCUCUCUCUCUGCCCCUCCCCCUGCUUGCACUCUCUCAUUUUCUCUCUCCUCUCUCUCUCAAAAUAAGUAAAGAAACAAACUUGAAAAAAUAAAGUCCAAAGGUUAUGUGACAUGUCCUGAAUCUUCCCCUUUUCUUUAAAAUUGAAAAGUGAUAGUUAAUACUUAUUCCUUACUCUGUACCAGCCACUGUACUAAAUUCUUUACGUGGAUUAAGUACUUUAAUACUUACGACAACCUUAUAAUGAAAGUACUAUUGGUAGAUUUCUAUUUUACAGGUGGAAAAGUAGAGUUGAGAGAUACAGCAGUCCCCUCAUCCGCAGUUUCGCUUUCCGCAGUUUCGGUGCCGGCCUUGUAUCAACCGUAGUCUGAAAGCGGGUGAUUCUCGUGACGAAUCUUUGGAAGGUCAAUAGUAUCCUAACUCUACCUUACGUUGCCUAAGUCAUUUACCCCGCCUCGUCUUACCGCGUAGGCUUUUUAUCAUCUCACAUCCUCGCAAGGAGAAAGACAGUAUAAGAUACUUUGAGAAAGAGAGAUACCUCGUUCACGUCACUCUUAUUACAUGAAUUGUUACAAUUGUUCUAUUUUAUUUUGUUUUAAGUUUAUUUGAGAGAGAACGAGAGAGCACACGUGGGGGAGGGGCAGAGAGACCGGGAGAGAGAAUCUCAAGCAGGCUGCGUGCUGUCAGUGAAGCCCGACACAGGGCUCCAACUGAGGAACCCUGAGAUCAUGACCUGAGCCGAAAUGAAGAACUGGAUGCUUAACCGACUGAGCCACCCAGGAAACCUCAACUUCUCUGCAUCAAUUCAGCAUCAGAGAAUUCAAUUUAAAGAGGCCAGCAGAGUGUCUGGUAAGAUCAACAAAUGAACCAGCUCCAAACAAGGCGUUAAUGGCUGAUGUCAAGUCAGUGAGAGCAUGGAGAAGGGCUACCAUUUGUCUGCCAGUGUUUCUUCUUUCUGAGAUCUGCUGUCUUGGCUCUUGUGUGAUCAGGGCCAGUGUCCAGAGCAUAAGCCUUGAUCUCAGAAGGUGAACUAAAAUGGCGUGAUAUCUUCUUGUGGGAUUCAGAGAGUCUAAUCUUAGGCAUGGGCCAGUCUAAUCUUAGGCAUGGGCCUUAUUCCAGAAAACAGCUUUCCCUCCAUUGCACCCAGGGAAGCCAGAAAAAUCACCUUAUGAGAAAAAUGUAUCAAUACAGUAAUGAAUGAAGAUGUUCCUGAGCUAUUUAAAAUGCCAUGGUAAGUACAGAUUGUAAUUCUCAGAGGUUACUAUAAUUUUGGGUGGAUAAUCAAAAAAUUGUUUUAAACUUCAUCAGUUCUUAUGUUUUGUCAUUUGAGAACCUG